GCCUGGCUGGCUCAGUCAGUAGAACAUGUGACUCUUGAUCUUGGGGUCAUGAGUUCAAACCCCAUGUUGGGUA
rnacentral:tRNA from 1 species